GUUAGCGGCGGACGGGUGAGUAACACGUGGGUAACCUGCCUGUAAGACUGGGAUAACUCCGGGAAACCGGAGCUAAUACCGGAUAGUUCCUUGAACCGCAUGGUUCAAGGAUGAAAGACGGUUUCGGCUGUCACUUACAGAUGGACCCGCGGCGCAUUAGCUAGUUGGUGGGGUAAUGGCUCACCAAGGCGACGAUGCGUAGCCGACCUGAGAGGGUGAUCGGCCACACUGGGACUGAGACACGGCCCAGACUCCUACGGGAGGCAGCAGUAGGGAAUCUUCCGCAAUGGACGAAAGUCUGACGGAGCAACGCCGCGUGAGUGAUGAAGGUUUUCGGAUCGUAAAGCUCUGUUGUUAGGGAAGAACAAGUGCGAGAGUAACUGCUCGCACCUUGACGGUACCUAACCAGAAAGCCACGGCUAACUACGUGCCAGCAGCCGCGGUAAUACGUAGGUGGCAAGCGUUGUCCGGAAUUAUUGGGCGUAAAGGGCUCGCAGGCGGUUUCUUAAGUCUGAUGUGAAAGCCCCCGGCUCAACCGGGGAGGGUCAUUGGAAACUGGGAAACUUGAGUGCAGAAGA
rnacentral:rRNA from 1 species